GGACGCAGCUAAUUACUACCACCAACAACACGACAUGAUAGUUUAAGGUUGUACUACACCGCGCUCUCGUUAACCCUUGUGUGUCAGCUCUAAGUACCCGCCAUAGGUCUCCUAAACCUCUUGUGUUUUCGAUUAGUGUUAUGUUUGAGGUUGUCUUAGAGGACGAAAUGUUCUUUUAUGUGGCUAUGCUGAGGUUCUCGUGAUUAGGAUCUGUUCACACUUUUCACUUUCAACAUUAAAAAUAUUAUCCCCUCCAUCGACCAACCCCAAACGGCUUAACGUUUGAAGUUACUGUUCUAUAGAUUUGCUGAGUAUGCCCACAGGAAAAAGAAUCUCAGGGCUGAUUGCGGUGACAUAGCCCUGACUUUCUCAGCAGACUACAACUGAUUACCCAUGUGUGAGUCUUGAUCGUCAGCUUCAACCUGUUUCUUUGACAAGAGGAAGAGGAAUCACAGCCAAGCUUGAUAUUUUCUGUACUCCACCCGCUUGUGAUAACAGCCAGCUGUGCAGUGGUCAAUAUUAAUCAGAAAUGUCACAGCAAAAUACAAACGUAGCAUGUACAACAAAAACAGUGCAAAGCUUUAUCACAAACCAUUUUGAUUUUUCAAUGUACGUUUGACAAAUACAGGUAAUCUUUAAAAAGUCUUCAGUAAAUUUGUGCAGAUGCUGGAAUCUAGAGCAACCAACAAAAUGCUGGAGGAACUCAACGGGUCAAGCAACAUCUGUGGAAAAGUGGAAAAGGUCAACAUUUCAUCAGGGCUGGGGAAAAAAGAUGAGAAGUUAAUCAAGAAUAUUGUCUGGACUGCUAAAUCCCUCCAACAUUUUGUAUGUGUUGUCUGUGGAGGUAAAUAGACAGUUGACAUUUUGGGCUAAGACCCUUUAUCUGAAUUGGUCCAUUCAGUUUUACAUUACAAAUCCAACUCAGCGGUUGUAAAGUGCAGCUACUUCCUUUCAGCCUUUCACUUCUCAGACCUACUGGCACAACCCUAAUCACUACACUGAACUGUGAUCACUUGCAACAGCCGGUGGAAUAAUUUUGAGGUUCUGUCAAAGCAUAAUGACCAUGUGAAUUAAAACUUCAUACCAGGAUCUAACUGCGUACAGUUGGAUAACUUUCUGGUGUUGUACUGAGGGAGUGCUGUAUUGUUUAAGAUGCAGACUUUUGGAUUAAAUAUUACAAUACCUUUGAACAGCCCCCUCACUAAAAUAAAUUGGAGUAGUUUUUAAAAUGCCAAAGGAAAAUCAGAUUCAAUUACAAUUACACUUGAGAAAAUCUUGCUGUGUGUAAAGCAAAUCUACAAGAUUUCAGAUGUACUCACGGCGUGUGAUGUGUCUUGAAUUGUUUCUGAAAGGUAAUGAUAAAAGACUUUACUA